rnacentral:lncRNA from 1 species
GCAUAACACUAUGAACAAACAAUUAUGGCAUCAUGUUUUUUAAAUAAUUUUGACAUCCUAGCUGAGUUAUAUAAGAUGGCAAAUCAAUAAGUGCUGAAUUUAAAGAUUUUAUUUCUUCUGACCCCAUGUAUUUUCAACAGCUUGUCAACUGGCACUAAUGAAAAUAUUAAACAAAAAAUAUGUAUUUUUUGUAGGUGAAUUAUUUGAGGAACUACGGUACAAAUGGUUAUCAGAUUAGUGACCAGUGUCAUGCAGUGUAUUACAAUGUUCUACCCUAAAGAAAAAGAAGAAAUAAAGUCUGCUGGCAAAAAGAAGUGAAGCCUACAUUACUUACAUUUUCAAUCAUAAAUAAGAACAACUACUGAAUAGGUCUUGACAAACACAUUCAAUCAUUCUAAGUGCUCCACUCUCAGGUAAAAUAAUUUCAGAUUUCAUAUCUGGUGGCCACAAAGCAUGUCAAUAGACUAUUCAUGUUCUCAUCUGAACAGAAAUUAUUCCAUUUAAUGAUAUGUGACGAUACCAUCCAAGUCUGUAACCAUUUUAAUAGAGUUUAUCUGUGUUAAAAAAACAGAAAAAUAUAAGAACUUUUCUUUCAAGCCUCUAUGAUUACGCAUUAUCAAUAACCAGAGCAAAGCAGCCUGCGCCACCUCCUGUUUCAUAAAUGCAGUGGUCCAAUGUAAAUUAGUCUCCUAGCUGUUAUUUUUCUUCAUUUCUCCAAAAGUACUGUACAUGUAUAGAUAAGACAUACAAAAAAGACCGAUUUGUCAGUGCAACACUUACAUGAUCAGGUUUUUGUUCUAUAGUCAAAUUAUGCCGUUGGCAUUAUUCACUGCUCAAAUAUCAAAUACUUGAAAAAUAUUCCCUAUUUUGCAUUUAGGCUGUGAUGCCACCAACCAAUCUUCCAUUCUUAACUACUGUGCCAAUUGAAAUUCAAGUUUUUUCCACAAACAGGGCAAAGGUUUUCUAAUAUAGUUUAACUAUUAAGUUUUCUGUUCCCUAAGAGCGUUUGAAGUUUUUUUUUUUUAUCUAAUGCUAAUACAUUUGCCCUGUUCUACUAUUCUCCAAAUAAGUUGGAGAUCUAAUU